UUGUUGCCGCUUUCAUACUCAGUUCCGUUUCAAAUUUCAUCGAUCGUUUCAACACAAUGGCAUAUCAGCAAGAUCCAUGCGCCAACCCAACGCAUCAGACUGGCAAGACCGGAGGCCAGACCGACCAGUAUGGAAACCCAGUCCAUCAAACCGAGGCCAUGGGCGCGUAUGGUGCGGGAACUGGCACUGGUAUGCAUGGUGGGGAGCAUCAGCAGCAGCCCCACCAACAACCCGGCGUGCUUCAUCGCUCCGGCAGCUCUGUAAGUUGCCAUGCCAAAUGCCAAAUCGUUAUUAAUUAGCUUUGAUAUCUUGGUUUUGUUAUUUUGACUGGAUUUGAUACGCAGUCAUCCGAGGACGAUGGGCAAGGUGGGAGAAGGAAGAAAGGGAUGAAGGAGAAGAUAAAAGAGAGGAUACCGGGCAUGGGACGCAAGGACGAGCAGAAGCAUACGAGCGCCACAAGUACGCCGGGGCAGGGGCAGCAACAGAAAGGAAUGAUGGAGAAGAUCAAGGAGAAGCUGCCUGGGGGCCACUAGGUGUGUCUGGAAAUGAAGGGGACGUGGUCUAAUCGUUUGUAACUGAAACGAGAGUCUAGGUCCAUAGGUCAUAGGUGAAUGGGUGAUGCAUAAGCGUUUGGUUAUGAACCAGACGAGUCUAAAUUGAGUUAAUAAAUUGCUGGACUGCUGCUAUAUGCAGCCCGGCAUCUGCUUUCUGCUUUCUCAAUGUAGUCCCUGUAUGCCUGUCCUCUUCGUAUAUUAGUAGCUGAGUGCUUAUUAAUGCUACACUUAUGUUGUCAUUUUUCAUAAACUAGAUUUUGUUUUGGUGUUACCACCCCCAAUCUGACUUCAUGCUUAAGCGCAAGUUUAUCGUGCUUUAAUUUGAUCAAAUCUUGAUAUAUUCAGGUAACCCUGUACAUGCUGCAAUUCAGGUCUUGCAGAAACCACAUGUUCACAACGAAUAAUAAAUGUAAAUAAAUGGCUACAGCAAGUAAGAGCAUGUAUUAGAAGAGUAAAAAAAAAAAAUGGUGAAAACAGUACCCACGAAAUAUAUACUACAACGUUUAAAAAAAUUAGGGCGUCAUGGAGAUAAAAACUAGGCAUCACAAAGACAAACAAUCCGACAAAGUAUGAUUUCUAUAUAUAUGUUCAAUUCAUAAAAUUAUAUAAAAAUGAAUAUUUGAUAGAAGGAAUAUUAAUUAUAUAAAAAAGAAUAUUUGAUGGUUUACCAUUGAAUGCUUUCUCAUUUUUUUCCCCUAAAGGGGCAGUUCUUCACACCUUCCCCUUCUUUUACCCACAAAAGCAUCAUCCCAUCUAAGCAAGUUUUCCCUUAUAGUGAAAUGCAAAACCUAUUGCUAAUAUACUAGUCUUGUUGCAAAACAGAAAAUGAUGGUCAUUAAUUUAUUCUUCUUUACCAUAACAUACUAGUCUUGUUACAAAAUAGAAAAAGAUGGUCAUUAAUUUAUUCUUUUUUACACUAGAAACAUCUAUUUGACAUGUUUCAUCCCCUUCUUUUCGAUUCGUCAGUAAUUAAAACUCUAUUCCAAGACACUUGCCAAACAAAAAAAACCUACUCUCAUCGGAAUCCAAGACCUCCAAAUAAUGCACCAAGUGUAAGGAUCACUAGACUUGUGUAGGAACAGUGAGUCACUUUCUCUCUAGCUCAAAGUAUCCUUCACAUCUCUUCUAACAGCCAAAGAAUGAAGUUUCCAAUAAAAAGACUCCACCUCUCCCAUCUCCCAAUCAUUAAGGUGUCUUGAAAAGCGAGGACUCCAACAACCCAACUCCCCACUCUCCUCCUAAGCAUUUGACACCCACCCAUCUUUGUAUGUAGCUAAGAGAAAUAAAGUAGGAAAAACAUCUUUCAAUGUUUGAUUCUCACACCACAAGUCCUUCUAAAACCGAACCCUUUUUUCUCAUUAUCUACUACAUACGAAACGGGAUCUAUCUCGAAUGCCCUCUCAUUCUCUUCUAAUGGCUUUCCACACCCCUACACCAAAACCUCCUCUCCCUCCAAACCAAACUUGUCGAUGAUGACUUGUUUCCAAAGGGGCUCUCUUUCUUUUGCAAAUCUCCAACUCCACUUCCUAAGCAAAGCCUUGUUAAGGGCCAUAAGGUUGCGAAUUCCUAGACCACCCUCCUUCUUAUUAGCACAACAAACUUUUCAAUGCACCAAAUGAGGCCUUUUUUCCAAGGCUCCACCGCCUCAAAGAAGGGUCUCUUUGUAUUUUCUCAAGUCUUGCACUCACCUUCCGAGGAAGGACAAAGAUGGACAUAAAAUAAAUCAGAAGACUAGAAAGGGUACUUUUGAUCAAGGCAAACCUCCCGCCCUUAGAGAGAUAUUGUCACUUCCACAUAAAUAAUUUUUUCUAAAUCUCUCUUCCACUACAUCCUACACUCUUAGGGAUUUGAAAGAGGCUCCCAAAGGAAGACCUAUAUAAGAAGUGGAAAGCUUCCCUACACCACACCCCAACCCCACAGCUAGCUCCUCCAUAUUCUCUACCCCCCAAUGGGAAUAACCUCGUUUUUAUCUAAAUUCACUUUUAAACCAAAAAGCGCCUCAAACCAUAUAAACACCCAACUUAAAUAUCUCAACCGGUCACUAUUGACCUCACAAAAAAUUAAGGUGUCGUCAACAAACAAUAGGUGGGAUACAUCCCACCUCUCUCCAUAUCAACAAUUAGGCAAUAUCAACAAUUCCGAGAGUUAGAUCUUGUGAAUAAAAAACGAGGUUUUUGGUUCUAGGGGUACUAAUGAAAUCCAAUAAGUAGAAUCAUUCUAAAAAUUACAAUGAUGUGUUAAAUUCUUGGGGUACUAAUGAACCCAAUAAAUAAAUUUCCUAGUUGCAAUUGAAUCAUUCUCAAAAUUAUAGUUAUCGCAAAAUCCUGACUGUAAUAAUACAGAGGAGAUGCUAGCUAUAUUAGGCGUUUAUAAAAUUGGGGAUUAAUUCAAAUAAAUCCAAUACGGAUGGAAAAGAAAACUGGGACUGCUACAGUACGAUUUCCUGAUGAUUGCUUAAAGAUGACAUCUGGAGUUCAUCAUUGUGUAAAUGAUAUUGUAGGUCGCCGGAUUAAAUCCAUCCUUGUCAAUUCUAUUCUCUUCUUCCUUCAGAGCCCAGUUUGGAGCAAGUACUUGUGCAGAAGAGUGUACAAAGGUGGCAACUUGGGUGGAUAAUUAGGAUUCAAAUUCAAUAGGCUCUGUACUGGUGUAAGAUUAACCAAACUUCAAAUGAGAAAAGAAAAGAAAAAAUCCAAUUGGUCAAUGUUGCAGUUCCAAUCCAUGCUUCCAUCACCAGAAGUUACCACAGGAGCAUCUCCCAUCGCGAAAAUGGUGGAAUCUCAUGUUAUCCCUGACAACAAUUUCUCUCCCUGUGAUCUGAGAAGCACCACACAUUACUGAAUGGCAAUCUUCGCAUAUCCUGAGGUUCUUCACAAUUCUAAUGGUGCACCCAGCAUUUGUAGUGAGCAGGCCAAACGCCAGAGCAAGCUUCUCACUAUGACUCAUUAGCAACCGCUUCUUCUCUUCAUCACUAAUGUCAUAGGCCACAGAACUCAGGUUUGGCUGGUAGCCAAGAUACUUUAAUCUGUCGAGAAGAUCCUCCAGUGCCUGCUUAAUCUCCCUGGACUUCGGAUGGGACAUAUCACCUGCAAAGAACUCGUGAAUUAUCCCUUUCUUUCCUUCAACCCAGCUGCAUCCAGGAUUCUUUUUCAGACCCUUCGCCCUCAUUAACUUCCUUACCUUUGAAACAUCAUCCCACCUGCCUGCUGAAGCAUAUAUAUUGGAAAGCAAGAUGUAGUUCCCAAUACCAUUGGGUUCAAGCUCAAACAAAUGGCUUGCAGCAAUCUGGGCCAUAUCAGGAUUCCCGUGGAUGCGACAUGCCCCAAGCAGUGCUCCCCACACGCCCCCAUGGGGAUUCAUGGGCAUCAUUUUUACAAGGUUGAGAGCUUCUUCCAAGCGUCCAGCUCGACCAAGAAGAUCCACCAUGCAGGCAUAGUGAUCCUCUGAUGGUGCAACACCAUGACAUUCUUCCAUCAUUGCGAAUAAUUGCUGACCUUGUUCUACCAUACCUGCAUGGCUGCAAGCAGUAAGAACACCUAUAAACGUGACCCUGUUUGGUUUUAUCUCUGUCUUCAACAUCUCAUCAAAUAAUUCCAUUGCAGCACCAGCCAAACCAUGCAUUGCAAACCCCACAAUCAUUGAACUAUAAGAAUACACAUUCCUUUCCUCCAUUCUUUCAAAAACCUUGUAAGCAUCUUCUACGCUCCCACACUUCGCAUACAUAUCAAUCAAUGCAGAUCCCACAACAACAUUACUGGUAGGCCCAAAUCCAGAUUGCUCUGCAACGUCCCGGACCCAAUUAGCAUACUUAGCUGCACCUAGUUGAGCACAUGCUGAAAUGACACCAACCAAGGUAACCUCAUCCGUUUUAACGCCUGCAGCCUGCAUUCUUUCAAAAACUUCCAAUGCCUCUCUUGGCCUAGCAUUUUGGGCAUACCCUGUGACCAUUGCUGUCCAUGCCACCAUAUCCUUCAUGGGUAAUCCAUCAAACAACUCACUUGCAGCCUCCAUGUUUCCAACCUUCGCAUAUGCAACAAUCAAAGAAGUCCAAGAAAUCACAUCUCUGUCCAGCAUUUCAUCGAAUACCCGAUGUCCACAACCCAAACACCCGCAUUUCACAUACAUAUCAAUCAAAGUAUUCCCAACAUAUAAAUCAGAACCAAACCCGCCAAUCAAAAUCGUCUGGGUAUGUACCUGCCUCCCCAAAUUGACAUCAAGAGCAGCGCUACAAGCCUUGAGCAGUGCAGUAAAAGUAAACGAAACAGGGCCAAUGCCUUGCCUUCUCAUACUAUUAUACAGAAGAACCGAUUCCAUAAAGGGCCCUUGAAGAGCGUAACCGCGAAUAAGCGCGGUCCAAAGAAAUGGGUUGGGGUAUUCAACUUGUUGGAAGACAAGGCGCGGAUAGGGGUCCAUUGGGACAUCGAGUUUGGUGAGCGUACGGAGGAGCUUGGCGAGAACAAAGCAGCACUGUUCCAGACCCUUUCGGAAGAUGUGGGCGUGCACUUGUUUGACUUGGUUGAUGUGGGUGCAGCCAUGAAGGACUGACACAAGCCGCGAUUCUAAAAUCUUUUGUUCUUGGCGUACAGAGAAGGGAAUGAAAGAUUGAGUUUGCAGCUGACAAUAGGAGGUUUUCGGGAGAAUGAAGAGACAUGUCUUUGUACAGAAUUUGACCAUUACACGCGAUUUCACGGUUCAUUGGGGUGCUUCCUGUGAGACAUGAGAGACCACUCGAAGGAAGAAGGCGGCACAUUAGAUUAAAAGGGAUUUUUAAUCACGUUUUUAGAAGUAUGUGAUUUUUUUUUUUUAAGAAGACAGGAUCCUUUUAAUCAAAUAAAACCCUUUUUCAUCUUUUUCACCUCAGAUCCAACGACGUCGUUUUGCCUUGGGCAAACGUACUAGUCCUACGUUUUGUUCUUAGGUAGUUUUGGGGUUGGAGAAAAGGUGAAAGGCAAAAUCAAUCGGCAGCAACAGCAUCAUGUUUGCAACAGCGAUCAGGUAUUUGGCAAAGAAACCGAAGCCAAAGCAGAAACCUAUAGAGCUAAAAACUCCACCUGAGCAAACUAAAACCCUCACUAGGGUUAUAUUUGAUAUAGUAAAGGAGCACGGUCCUCUCACCAUCGCCGACACCUGGGAACAUGUCCAGGUAAUUCUUCUCUCUCAAUCCUCCAUUCUUUAUUCUUUCCAAACCUAAAACACAGAUGCCCUUAUUUUCCAGUAUUUUACUUGUAGCUUUUAAGGUGAAGAAGGAUUCCAAUUUGUCACAUCUUGGUUCCUCAGUGCAGAAUCAAAGACCAUAACCUUUUAUAAGUGUAGUUGUUGAGUAGAUCCUCAUAUUUUGAUUGCACAUUUACAAACAUUAUGAGUAUUUGGAUGAUUAAUUCAUCUGCAACCUCUGCAGCAAGUUGGGUUGAGAGGACUGACCAGCAAAAGGCACAUGAAGAUAGUGCUGAGAUGGAUGAGGGAGAGGCAGAAGCUCAGGUUAAUAUGCAACCAUGUAGGGCCCCAUAAGCAAUUUCUGUACACCACCUGGUUCGCCAAAUCCAACGUCAAUCAGCCGAAACCUGCAAAUGGUUCUUCACUGCCUAAGUUGCCUUGAACUCUUAUCGACUACCAGCUUAGAACCUUGCUCCUAUGUCUUGAUCAAUACCUUUUCUAUUGUAAUCGUUCCUUUAAAGCUAUAGAAAAAAUAUAUAUAUGAAAUGACUUUUCUUUAUCUGUUGGUAUUUCUGUUUUAUUUUCGUGGAAUUGAAGCACUCGUGGAGAUAUAAAUGAGUGUUUGAUACUCACUACGUUGAUUUCCCAAAGAAAAUAGUACCAUCUUUGACGAAUUGGAGGAUAUUCACCAUUGCCCACCUUGCGCGUUUUUUCCAGAUAUAUUAGGGGCAAACACGCCAUAGACAAGGCAGAGAGGCAGAGAUGCAGAGACCACUCUCAUCUUCUAACAGCCAAACAACCAAUUCCUGGAGGGAAGAAAAAGAAAAAAAAAAGUGGUUGAAUUAUGACAAUCUCUCAUAUGAGAGCAUUAUUUCAUUUGGUUGAAUAAAGGCCUGUGAUAUUGAUUUAAGUCUAAUUUUCUCGGAAUCACGUCCUAUAUCAGAUACCUAAGCUGAAGCUUGAAACUAUACCAUAGAGACCCGGGUGAAGGGUGCAAUUCCCAAAAAUAACAUGAGAAUCUUUCAUGAUGUGAAACUGAGUAGCCCUUUGAGAGCAAUGCAGGCGAAUCCUUCUGCAAGGAGAGAGUUUCAACGGAUGAUGUUACUCGCCCAAAUAACCAAAUUCAUUACUAAGGUUGUUGUCAAGGGAUUGAGAGGAGAGAAGCCUCUAGGGAAAACCUUACAGUUCCAUGCCAACUCCAUUAUAUGCUUCUCUUCGAUUCUUCCUGCAUAAAUCUGAAGCUGCAGCACUCGAGCAUUUUUCACCACUUGAAAAGUUUUCUGCUUUUGUUGGUUCACUUUGUUUGCAUUGCUCUUUGAUAAAAUCAAAUUCUAAACAGUGUCUCUAUGCAUUACUUGUUUUGUUCGGACAAUUCGAAAACCCUCUUAGUUAACAAACAUUAGAAAGCACAUGAUACAGAGUAACAUAUUUCAAGAGAAUUUAAACUGCUGUCUAUUCAAAACAAAAAUAAAAAUCUAACAGGCAAACCUAAUAGUAAGUACAGCUUUUCUCAAAGGGUAAGGUUUGAAUAUGUAGUCAGCAGCAUGAGAUUAAAACAAAAAACAAAAAACAAAACAAAAAAGGCAAAAACAAAAUGAAAAGAAAAAAAACCCCACUGGUGCAGACAAUGUGAAGAAUAUGUGCAGAUGAUCUUUUGCUAUGAGCAUCUCCUUGUAGGUGAUUGUGAUCUUAUAAGCUAGCCACCAGCAUUACAUUCUCCUACAUAGAUAAUUUCUGGUUCUCUUGGAUAUGACUCUUGCCAGACGGAAGAAUGAGAAGAAAAAAACUUUGGGAGAUGCUAUUAAAAGGAAAUUUUUUAUUAUGGAAAUUCUAACCUCCCAAGCAAGUUUACAGCAUUAAGAAGCACACUAUGUAUAAGCUGAACUGGAAGAUUUUCUAUAUGGAGGCAAAGGCUUUAACUCUACAGUUUUGGGUGACUCUUUGCUUUCUGCAACACCUCCUUUAAAACUGUGGCAAUCCUAUGUGCCAUGUGGUGUUCCAAAAACGUUUCUUUUACCUUCUCAUAUCCUGUCUUUCCCAGGGUAAGCCUUCUAUGAACAUUAGUGGCUAGUGUGACAAUGUUUUUUGCAAGAGGAGUGACCCCUUCUUUCCCUGUUGGGUGUAACAAACCUGUUGACCCAUUCACUACAAUCUCGGUGGUGCCUCCUGCUGCUGUUCCCUGAAUACAUGUUUUGACAAACACUAAAAUUUAUGAAGUUGAAUGCCACUCACAAUGGAGGACAACCUUAAUAUGGUACUCAACACAUACUAUAAAGUAUCAAUCAGAAGGCCUCAAACAAAAACAACCAAAAAUUAAAAGGAAAAGUCCAUUCAUUACCAAUACAGGUAGCUGAAAUGCCAUGGCUUCAAUGGUUAUCCUUCCAAAGCACUCUCCUCGUGCCUGCAAAGAAGAAAAAGAAUAUUAUGAAACAACUUCUCCAUCGUUGAGGCAUCUUUAUCUAUAUGGGUUGUUGGUAACAAUGUUGGCUUACAAACUUAUGCUGGUAAACUGAAAACAAUUAAAACAAGUGCAGAGACAAUAAAUCAAAGGGGAUGUGCAAAGGAAAAGAAAGAAAAAGUGAAGUACAAUAAAAUCAACAGAAUGCUAAAGCAGAGGGGAACCUGCCUGGGAAUUCUGAACAAGAACAUCAAUGGCAGCUAGGUAAGGGGCCACUGUCAGCGUUUUAUUUACAAAGUGAACACGAUCUUGAAUCUUUUUUACUCUUACAAAAUCACGCAGUUGUGACUCAAACUUGGGCUGAGCAGUCAUGUCACUUCCCACAAUUACUGCAUGCAUUGAUGGAACCCUCAAUUUCUUUUGUAUAAUCAAUUGCAAGCUCUCAUAGAAGGAUUGCAGAAAUAAAUCCUGGCCUUUUCCACGUGAAACACCUGAAAUUAUGUAUACUUUUAGUGUUCCCAAGAUAUAAUUGUACAAGAUACUAGCACAAACAUGAUACUUUAAGGCAUGAUAGCAUUAGCAAUAGAUACUUUAUGUAUCUAUUAAGUGCAAUGAUGAGUGAGAAUUGUAAAAUGUGAGGACAGUUUCAAAAUACAGUCUACAGCAUAUUGCUUCAACUGGUAGAAAUUGCAAACAUGUGGUUUUGGGCAAGCAUGUUAACCAAAUAAGCUGCAAUAGCUGAACUCAACUACAACUGUACCAGACCAAAACGUUCAUUCUAGAUAUGGAAAGGAUUAUAAUGAUUGAGCAUUAGCAAAGUGAAUGAAAACCAAAACAUAAAUCGGCAAUGUGAAAUGCAUACUGUUUAUCAUUGCAAAGAGUACAUCUUCAUCCCGAACUCCAAGAGACUCCCGAACAUGUUCACGCAAAACCCUUUUUGCCACACUAUCUUCAGCAAUGUCCAUGAGGUCCUUGCUAUUGCCAAGGUGAACCACAUAGGUAUCAGGCAUUUUAAUCCUGCAAAGUGGAAAUGAGUAAAAGUUUUAAAAAUCCUCAGUUAUCAAACAUUGGUAUGUUAGAUUUGGACAUACAAACAAUGAUUACUAAUCAAACAUAUACUCUUACACUAGGUUGUAAUCUUCCCUUGUUGCACAUUGCUAGCUAGGAGAACAUAGAAGAAAAUCAUAGUUCUAAGGAAACACUGCACAACUUUGAGAAAGUCAAUCUAACUAAAAGUUUUAAGGACAUAUAUAUCAAAGAUAAGGUCUUCAAAGUCUUAAUUUCACCCAAUUUAUAUAAACCAUAAGCAUUGAAGGACCUGUACAUUCACUACAAAAUACUACUUUUCUUAUCUUAGAUCAAUAUGCCACAAAGCAUAUCAAAAUGGAAAUUGCAACUAAGAGCAGCAAUAUAAGAGCCACAUCAAGAAACACACAUGGUCAUGCACAGACCAACACACACAACAAUCACACACAUGCACACACUCACACAGAGACACACACUUGCAGAUACCUCAAAUAAUCUCUAGUUCCGGUUUUCCAGUACUCUGCUGCUACAUGUGAAUCAAUCAUAGCGGCAGCAACCAGAGGGAGGUGCCUGACAUACUCUAAUUGGAAAUAAUGGCCUUGUAUUUCAUGAAUCCACCACAACACUUUUGGAAGAACGUGAGGGACAUUUUCCUUCAGGACAUCAUCCAGCCAUUUUCCAGCCAUGACAGUGUUUAAAACAAGCAAAUCAGCUUUUAAAGCUCUGUUUAUAGCUUCUCGACCCUUUGCAGGCAAAACCUAACAACGUAUGGACAACAAUAGUUAGAAGCCAGAUUCAUAAGUUACAAAGAAAACCUACCAACCCACCAAAAUAAAGGAAAAGGCAAAUUAAGCAACAUAGAAAAACCAGAUAUGUACAGACUCAAGUUCAAAUUUUACCAUGACUCCCAAGAAGAUAAAAGUGUCUCUGCAGGCCAUACCAUCCCAAACCAAGAUUAAAAUGGCAAGCAUCAAAAGUGUGAGCUUGGCACAAUGCCAAACAGUCAUCUGGAAUAACUUCAAACAGAAGGCAAAAAAGCCUGAAGAAACUCCGUUGUAAACGUUUUUUUCUUACACCAUUUUGAGAAGUACAACGUCAAAAGUCAUUUAGAAUUCUGUAACAGAGUUUGCAAUUUUCAUUUUAGAUGUAUUUUUAUACCUUUUCACUUUUUUGAAAUUCCAAGCUACCUUUUAUUGUAAUCAAAUGAUUUAAAGACCAUGUUAGGCUUUUUGAAGUUAAAUUCAUCUAUAAUGUUUCAUUUGGUGUUGUCAAAAUAGAAAUUCUAGUAAUAAUAUACAGAAGAGAUUUAAUGUUCAACAUAUCAAUGAUUUCCCUCUCCCGCUGGCAAUAUGGACCAUAACAAACAAUCCUGCCUAUUAAAGAGAACCCAGUGUGAACCUUUUAAUGGUUAAUCAAAAUACCAAAAUAAUAAUAAUAAUAAUAAUAAUAACAACAAUUUUCAAGAGUUAAGAAAAGAUAACUGAAAUAAUAAUUCCCAAGAAUUAAGAAAAGAUAAUAAAACUCUUAGAAGCACACUAACCCAGUUCAUAAAUUGGCAAUUUGACAAAAUGAAAUUUACAUCACCUGUACUCCUCGGUGUUGCAUUUUAUUCUCCAAACUGUAUAUCACUUCAUCUGUUUCUGAUGGUUUAUGGUUUGUAAUCCAACAAACUUCAGCGCCAACACUUCUUAACAGAAAUGCUAGCUCCAUCAAUAAUAGCGGGCCACCUGUGAAGGAAACAAAAAAUAAGAACUCCAAAUGAAGGAGAAUGAGAAAGCAAAAGUAUAAGAAGAAGAAAGAUAUAUUAAGCAUAUGCUUCAGAGACAAAGAAAAAGUUGUUAUAGACAUCAGACUUUGAAAACAAGAGAGAAAGAAUGAGAGAGACAGAGAGAUCUAUAGCUGUUGGUGUCAUUUAUUUCCUAUUGAGAAACUUGUCUUCUGCCCUCAGCAGAAUUAUGUAUUAACACAGCAUGUUCAAACCAACAUUUUUCUGCACUUUUCUUUCCCUUUAUACUAAUUUCUAUUAUGAUAUAAAUAAAUGAAAAAAAAAAAAAAAACUACUCAAGACUUAAAUACUGUCUUGGUAAGUAACUGAUCCUUUGUGGUUAAAGUCGGGAGUUCCACCCUCGAAAGAAUUUAAAGUUCCCAAAAGGAGAACUAUAUGGAAAAGAAGCAUUUUUUGAUGCAUCAACACUUGUCUGUCUAUUCAUUAAUUUUUUCAUGCAAGGAAAAUGACAUAGUGAAAGGGUCUUCUCUGAAACGGUUGCAAUCAUUAUUAAAUGACAAAAAAAGUAUUACUUCCUUCCAUGUAUAUCGAUAUAUUCGAUCUAGUGAAGUUACCACUUGAUCCAUUUAUGGAGCAACAUUUCAUCCCAAACACUAGGAAUACUUGACAGAGUAAUCCUAGGCUAUAUCCAAACCAAACUAUAUUAUCAUGCAUAUAUUUCCAAAAAUUUCAAAAUUCAAAUGACGUUUGUUAUACUGCUUCUUUACUACUAUGAUACCCAAACUCUCCAACUUUACUUAGCGUAUCUAUGUCGACACAACAUGACGUGGGUGUGGAUGUGAGAUCCUUGUUUGUUUCUCUUACUUGGCUUUGAAUAUGGCUGUUUGACUUUGACUAUUUUUUUUCAACCUCCUUAAUAGAUCAUUACAUUGAAAAAGAGAGGAUUUAGCGGUAAUGAAGAAAAGGUAAAGAUUAAAAAUUAAAAAAUAGAGGUUAUUAUCAAUAUAUACUCUUUUCAAUUAAUUUCUAAUUGGUUUUUCCUUUUUGUCCUUUUAUUAUGUCAUAUCCAUGUAUCCAUAUCUAAAAUUUAAAUUCCUUUUAGCUGGUUCCUUGCAUCCUAAAUUUUGGAGUUAAAAAUAUCCAACUCCUAAGGAUGUACCCACACUUGACACAUGUGGCCAAGUCCAAGCAGCAUAGCUUCUUUAGAAGUUCAAGACUGCUGAGCAGUGCAAAUUUUUUUGUUGCCUCCACAAAGCACCUCCCUUUUAUCAAGUUGGGUUUCAAUGGCUUCCAUCAUUUUGUGAAGGUAAACAAGCAUGGACACAAAAUAUAUCCCACCACUCUGUUAAACUUCAUAUAUUCCAGAUAGGCACCCCUGUAUUCAAUUUAUAAUUGUCACCAACACCUUAACGAAGAAAAGGACAUUGAAAAAGAAAGGAUUUAGCGGUAACGCAGAAAAGGUAAAGAUUAAAAAAUUAAAAAAUAGAAGUUAUUAUCAAAAUACCCUUACUCUUUUCAAUUAGUUUCUAAUUGGUUUUUCCUUUUUGUCCUUUUUUUAUGUCAUAUCCAUGUAUCCAUAUCUAAAAUUUAAAUUCCUUUUUUAGCUGGUUCCUUGCAUCCUAAAUUUUGGAGUUAAAAAUAUCCAACUCCUAAGGAUGUACCCACACCUGACACAUGUGGCCAAGUCCAAGCAGCAUAGCUUCUUUAGAAGUUCAAGACUGCUGAGCAGUGCAAAUUUUUUUGUUGCCUCCACAAGGCACCUCCCUUUUAUCAAGUUGGGUUUCAAUGGCUUCCAUCAUUUUGUGAAGGUAAACAAGCAUGGACACAAAAUAUAUCCCACCACUUCCGUUAAAACUUCAUCUAUUCCAGAUAGGCACCCCCGUAUUCAAUUUAUAAUUGCCACCAAUACCCUAACUCUGCAGGCUAUGAGAUAUUAAAGGGGAGGUUAUUUUUUGGCAUUUUACAUUUUUUUUACUUACAUGAUAUUUGGCGGACAUCUAGUACCCAUAGUAAAUGGAAACACGACAAAAUGGGAGAACAUGCUAAUAAAGCAGCCUAUAAUCCUGAAAUCACUAUAUUCCACAUAAAACCGUUAAAACACAUUCCAUGAACAUCUUUCUGUGUUCAUAACUAAUACUUCUAUUGGAUUAUAUAUGAAAAUAAAGACAAACACAUGGCUAAAAUAAGUCAUACUUACAAACCAGAAGCCUUUGUCAGAUCAGACAAAUGAGAAACAGGAAAAAAAACAACAUAGAUUCACUGAAAAUGAAACCUGAUAAAAUGUGAUGACACGCCAAUGCAUCCAGCACAUUAUCUUGACAUCAAUUUUUCUCAAAUAAUAGUUAAAACACAUUUCGUGGACUUUUUUUGCAUUAACAAUUCCAUUGAAUUAGAUACAAUAAAUAGCUAUCAAAAAUAAAAUAAAAUAAAAAUUUUGAAUUAGAUACAACAACAAAAAAAA
rnacentral:lncRNA from 1 species